AGAGUUUGAUCCUGGCUCAGGACGAACGCUGGCGUCGUGCUUAACACAUGCAAGUCGAACGGUGAAGUCCCUUCGGGGGCGGAUCAGUGGCGAACGGGUGAGUAACACGUGGGCAAUCUGCCCCUCACUGUGGGAUAACUCCGGGAAACCGGGGCUAAUACCGCAUAUGAAGCCUGGCGGCAUCGCCGGGUUUGGAAAGUUUUUCGGUGAGGGAUGAGCCCGCGGCCUAUCAGCUUGUUGGUGAGGUAAUGGCUCACCAAGGCGACGACGGGUAGCCGGCCUGAGAGGGCGACCGGCCACACUGGGACUGAGACACGGCCCAGACUCCUACGGGAGGCAGCAGUGGGGAAUAUUGGGCAAUGGGCGAAAGCCUGACCCAGCGACGCCGCGUGCGGGAUGAAGGCCUUCGGG
rnacentral:rRNA from 1 species